ACUCGCCUGCAUGAAGUCGGAAUUGCUAGUAAUCGCGGAUCAGCAUGCCGCGGUGAAUACGUUCCCGGGCCUUGUACACACCGCCCGUCACACCAUGAGAGUUGGCAACACCCGAAGUCAGUAGGCUAACGCAAGAAGCCGCUGCCGAAGGUGGGGUUGAUGAUUGGGGUGAAGUCGUAACAAGGUAUC
rnacentral:rRNA from 1 species